GUAGUUGAAGAUCGAUUGAAUAGGUGCAUUUAGUGCAAAUAACAACAAAAUAUCUUAACAAGCGAUAACGUACGCACGUGUUUUAUAUAACUUAUACCUACAAUUGUUAAAAUUUAGCAAAUUCAAGGCUCUUUCUUUUCGUAUUGUUGAACAAGAAACAAAAGUCAAUAAAAAGAAUAUACAAAUUUAAUCAACAUUAAUUAUUAUUAUUAUGGAAAAGUUAUUAUUGAAGAAUAUUUUACUCGAAAACAUGUUUGAUUCUUCUAGUAUAGUUUAUCGUCUAAUAACAGUGAUGACGACGAUGAAGAAUUACAAAAUAAUAUCUUGUUCAAUAACAACACAAGAUGAAAAGAGAAACGUACCAAAAAUAAAAAAUUAUUUGGAACACAUGUAGCAAUUAAGUUAUAAUACAUGAAGAAUUAUCGAACUAUUAUUCGCAUACGGUUGUACCUUCUAUUUUUGCUACCUAUAGGGCAUAAACGGCAACCAUACAUUAUAAUAAAAAAUAUUAAUAAAAUUUAAUGUUCCUUUCA